rnacentral:rRNA from 1 species
UACGUAGGGUCCGAGCGUUGUCCGGAAUUAUUGGGCGUAAAGGGCUCGUAGGCGGUUUGUCGCGUCGGGAGUGAAAACCAGGUGCUUAACACCUGGCCUGCUUUCGAUACGGGCAGACUAGAGGCAUUCAGGGGAGAACGGAAUUCCUGGUGUAGCGGUGAAAUGCGCAGAUAUCAGGAGGAACACCGGUGGCGAAGGCGGUUCUCUGGGGAUGUCCUGACGCUGAGGAGCGAAAGUGUGGGGAGCGAACAGG